rnacentral:rRNA from 1 species
GACGAACGCUGGCGGCGUGCUUAACACAUGCAAGUCGAGCGGUAAGGCCCUUUUGGGGGUACACGAGCGGCGAACGGGUGAGUAACACGUGGGUGACCUGCCCUCAGCUCUGGGAUAAGCCUGGGAAACUGGGUCUAAUACUGGAUAUGACCUUUCCUCGCAUGGGGUCGGGUGGAAAGUUUUCGGCUGGGGAUGGGCCCGCGGCCUAUCAGCUUGUUGGUGGGGUGAUGGCCUACCAAGGCGACGACGGGUAGCCGGCCUGAGAGGGCGACCGGCCACACUGGGACUGAGACACGGCCCAGACUCCUACGGGAGGCAGCAGUGGGGAAGUAUUGCGCAAUGGGCGGAAGCCUGACGCAGCGACGCCGCGU